AGGCAUCUGUUGACAGCCCGGUUUGCUUCUCUUCUGUAAGCGAGUGGGGUUUAUUUUUAUAGAUGCUAAAUAAACCGUCCCUGCGCUUUCUUCAUGUCUUGUUGGUGACUUUGGAGAUUGAAUUGGGGACAACAUGA